UACGUAGGGUGCAAGCGUUAAUCGGAAUUACUGGGCGUAAAGCGUACGCAGGCGUCUAUGUAAGACAGGUGUGAAAUCCCCGGGCCUAACCUGGGAACUGCAUUUGUGACUGCAUAGCUAGAGUCCGUCAGAGGGGGGUGGAAUUCCACGUGUAGCAGUGAAAUGCGUAGAGAUGUGGAGGAACACCGAUGGCGAAGGCAGCCCCCCUGGGUCAAGAUUGACGCUCAUGCACGAAAGCGUGGGGAGCAAACAGG
rnacentral:rRNA from 1 species